CCCGAAAGUUCGAAUGGGGAGACUCAUCGUUAGUGGCUGGUUCCUUCCCACGUUGUGCGCGAUGUUUGAGACUCGGUGUUGUUUUUUAAAUGACACCUGUCGAUUUCACGCGUACGCUGCGACACGUGUGAUCACGUUGACGUGCACUUCUCCUCUAGUAGAACGUCGCGACCCGCUGGGUGUCGAUUUAAGGGCAAUGGAUUCGACUGUCCCGUCGCUAACGCGUUACGUGGGCAGAAUCCUUUGAAUUGUACCCCCGAUCGACUGCCCGGCGGUAUAAAUGGAACGGUAUUCGGCCGCACUUUGAAUGCGUUCAGACUCGUCGCAGGCCAUACUUAUUCCCGGAUGUGCGCACUUUGUGUCGUCGCCCGGGGGUGGUUGGCUGUUGGCGUGCGAAGUUCUCGAACAGGCCGUAAAUUUUGAAUUGUACAUACCGGUCGGCGACGCUACUGAUUUGGGUACUUUCAGGACCCGUCUUGAAACACGGACCAAGGAGUCUAACAUGUACGCGAGUCAUUGGGACGAUGAAACCUAAAGGCGAAUUGAAAGAGAAGAUCGACUUAGCGUCGAUCGAGGGAGGAUGGGCGCGCAAGGCACGUUCGCGUGUCGAACCGCGCCUCGCACUCCCGGGGCGUCUCGCUGUCAUUGCGACUUGAGGCGCACCCAGAGCGUACACGUUGGGACCCGAAAGAUGGUGAACUAUGCCUGGUCAGGACGAAGUCAGGGGAAACCCCUGAUGGAGGUCCGUAGCGAUUCUGACGUGCAAAUCGAUCGUCGGAACUGGGUAUAG
rnacentral:rRNA from 1 species